AGUCGAGGGGUAUUGUUCUUCGGAAUGAGAGACCGGCGCACGGGUGCGUAACGCGUAUGCAAUCUACCUUUCACAGAGGGAUAGCCCAGAGAAAUUUGGAUUAAUACCUCAUAGUAUGCAGAGUUGGCAUCAACACUGCAUUAAAGUCACAACGGUGAAAGAUGAGCAUGCGUCCCAUUAGCUAGUUGGUAAGGUAACGGCUUACCAAGGCUACGAUGGGUAGGGGUCCUGAGAGGGAGAUCCCCCACACUGGUACUGAGACACGGACCAGACUCCUACGGGAGGCAGCAGUGAGGAAUAUUGGACAAUGGGCACAAGCCUGAUCCAGCCAUGCCGCGUGCAGGAUGACGGUCCUAUGGAUUGUAAACUGCUUUUGCACAGGAAGAAACAACUCUACGUGUAGAGUCUUGACGGUACUGUGAGAAUAAGGAUCGGCUAACUCCGUGCCAGCAGCCGCGGUAAUACGGAGGAUCCAAGCGUUAUCCGGAAUCAUUGGGUUUAAAGGGUCCGUAGGCGGUUUAGUAAGUCAGUGGUGAAAGCCCAUCGCUCAACGGUGGAACGGCCAUUGAUACUGCUAGACUUGAAUUAUUAGGAAGUAACUAGAAUAUGUAGUGUAGCGGUGAAAUGCUUAGAGAUUACAUGGAAUACCAAUUGCGAAGGCAGGUUACUACUAAUGGAUUGACGCUGAUGGACGAAAGCGUGGGUAGCGAACAGGAUUAGAUACCCUGGUAGUCCACGCCGUANACGAUGGAUACUAGCUGUUGGGAGCGAUCUCAGUGGCUAAGCGAAAGUGAUAAGUAUCCCACCUGGGGAGUACGUCCG
rnacentral:rRNA from 1 species